CGCCCAGCUGGUGUUUUAAGCUUGGACGGCCCUUUGUGUGGACGGGAGCCCUAAUCAAACAGCAUUGUUUUGUGAGACACUUCAGGGAAGGCACGGUAUCUUCAUUUUGUUCUUAAGUGUGAACUUUUAAUGCCCUCUGAUACCUAAUGAGCUAUCACAGGCUUUCUGGUAUUUAAGCCACUCUUAAAGUCCACCUUCUUUCAAGACGUUCUUAAUGCACAGCUCGAAGUUUCAGCCUUAUAAAGUCAGUAUUUAAUAGGUUUUUGCACUCAGUCCACGUUUACACGAGAUCAAAACAACAAGGCAGUCGUUAGCCAGAGAAUUAAGCUUGCUCAUCAGAGAGCAGAAAUCACCAACGUUCCAAUACGCUGCCUCCAGUGGAUUUAUGUGACUAUGUAAUGGAAAUUAGCAAGAAAUUGCUGUAUAUUUUCAGAGACUACAUGGACCUCAGGAGAAGAGACUGGAAUGUGAAGUGAUCUUAUGGAAAUUCAUGAAGAACAGGUGAACUAAUUCAAUGGGAGAGGAACAUACCUGCUAUUUAAUUAUUGAUGAAUAUUUUCCAGAAUUCCAUUAGUUUCCCAGAGGUCACUGCUAAAUUACAUCAAACUUUAUGAUGUGAUUAUAUCAUGAAUCAAGAUUCAAGUGUUUAACAAACAAAAUAAUUUAACAUUGAUAUAAUGGGAACUUGGAAAUAUUUCUUUCUUUCCCUUACCUGAAAAGUUCCUGUCUAGCAGCAUGAGUUUGGCAAAGCAGUUCUGGAUGACAAAUUUUGUUUGUUUGCUUAAAUACUCAU